rnacentral:rRNA from 1 species
UACGUAGGUGGCAAGCGUUGUCCGGAUUUACUGGGCGUAAAGAGCGCGCAGGCGGUCAUUCAAGUCGAGUGUGAAAGCCCCCGGCUCAACUGGGGAGGGUCAUUCGAAACUGGUCGACUCGAAGGCAGGAGAGGGUAGUGGAAUUCCCGGUGUAGUGGUGAAAUGCGUAGAUAUCGGGAGGAACACCAGUGGCGAAGGCGACUACCUGGCCUGUUCUUGACGCUGAGGCGCGAAAGCGUGGGGAGCAAACAGG